rnacentral:rRNA from 1 species
UACGUAGGGUGCGAGCGUUAAUCGGAAUUACUGGGCGUAAAGCGUGCGCAGGCGGUUUGUUAAGACAGAUGUGAAAUCCCCGGGCUCAACCUGGGAAUUGCAUUCGAUACUGGAUAGCUAGAGUUCGGCAGAGGGAAGUGGAAUUUCAGGUGUAGCGGUGAAGUGCGUAGAUAUCUGAAGGAACAUCAGUGGCGAAAGCGACUUCCUGGACCAGAACUGACGAUCAGGCACGAAAGCGUGGGGAGCAAACAGG